GGCUUUGGGGAGCCGGCGACGGCACCCUAUCGCUGAGAAGUCGAUCAAACUUGGUCAUUUAGAGGAAGUAAAAGUCGUAACAAGGUUUCCGUAGGUGAACCUGCGGAAGGAUCAUUAUCGAAAUUAUAGGUGAGGGUUGUAGCUGGCCUCUCGGGGCAUGUGCACGCCCGAGCCCUUAAUCCACACACACCUGUGAACCUAUUGUAAGGGCCCUUAAAAAAGGCCUUUACGUCUUAUCAUCAACCCAUCGUAUGUCUCAUAGAAUGUAAAUAUAUGUCCUCGCCUUAAAAAGCGUUGAUAAACUUAUACAACUUUCAACAACGGAUCUCUUGGCUCUCGCAUCGAUGAAGAACGCAGCGAAAUGCGAUAAGUAAUGUGAAUUGCAGAUUUUCAGUGAAUCGUCGAAUCUUUGAACGCACCUUGCGCUCCUUGGUAUUCCGAGGAGCAUGCCUGUUUGAGUGUCAUUAAAUUCUCAACUCCGAUCGAUUUGUUUCGACUUCGGAGCUUGGAUUUGGAGCGUGCUGGCGUCGGUCGGCUCCUCUUAAAUGCAUCAGCGGAAUCUAACGUUUCGGACGUCAGUGUGAUAAUCAUGUUGCGCUGUCUGUCUGAUCCGAAAGCCCGCUCACAAUGGUCUUCGGACAACUUCAUAUCAAAUUUGACCUCAAAUCAGGUAGGACUACCCGCUGAACUUAAGCAUAUCAAUAAGCGGAGGAAAAGAAACUAACAAGGAUUCCCCUAGUAACUGCGAGUGAAGCGGGAAAAGCUCAAAUUUAAAAUCUGGCGGUCUUGCGGCCGUCCGAGUUGUAAUCUGGAGAAGCGUUUAUCCGCGUC
rnacentral:rRNA from 1 species